AUUGAACGCUGGCGGCAGGCCUAACACAUGCAAGUCGAGCGGAUGAAGGGAGCUUGCUCCUGGAUUCAGUGGCGGACGGGUGAGUAAUGCCUAGGAAUCUGCCCGGUCGUGGGGGAUAACGUCCGGAAACGGGCGCUAAUACCGCAUACGUCCUGAGGGUGAAAGUGGGGGAUCUUCGGACCUCACGCUACUUGAUGAGCCUAGGUCGGAUUAGCUAGUUGGUGGGGUAAAGGCCUACCAAGGCGACGAUCCGUAACUGGUCUGAGAGGAUGAUCAGUCACACUGGAACUGAGACACGGUCCAGACUCCUACGGGAGGCAGCAGUGGGGAAUAUUGGACAAUGGGCGAAAGCCUGAUCCAGCCAUGCCGCGUGUGUGAAGAAGGUCUUCGGAUUGUAAAGCACUGUAAGUUGGGAAGAAGGGAAGUAAAUGAAUACGUUGCUGUUUUGACGUUACCAACAGAGAAAGCACCGGCUAACUACGUG
rnacentral:rRNA from 1 species